rnacentral:lncRNA from 1 species
GAGACUGAAGGAAGCGAGGGAAAGACGGGGAGGAAUUUGCACGGAGGCAAAGUGUUUAGAAGUCGAAAAGGCUUCCCUCGGCGUCUAGAAAACCGACGGGCUGUGAUGGGCAGAGGACGCGGUGGGCGGGAUGGCGUAACCAAGACAACCGUUCCCAAAAUAGCUCCUUUCUCCCUGGCGUUGUCUGCGAGGCGUGCGCGGGACGGCGAGGUCUGCCCGGCCCGGGAGGGCUGUGCUGCGCUGGCUCCAAAGCCCGGGCCACACCCCCAGGCGGAGGUGACCCGGAGGGAUUCGAUCCCAGGAUGGCGCUCGGGUGGGGCGCUGCACAGUGAGGGGCGGCCCGCCCCCCGAACGUCCCCUGAAGCUCUGCAAGGGUUGGCACCGGCGGCCUCCGGCGGUACCACUCCAGGGAGGCCUCCUCCCGAGGGGAUGGGGUUGCACAUCAGCCUCACAGCUGGCUGGGAGCCUGGCCCCGGGUCAGCGUCCCUGGUCAGGCCCCAAGACUGCUGUGUGCCGCUUGGAAUCUGGGUGUUGGAGGGAGAAGCCCUGUCUGCUUCAGAGCAUCAUCCGUUUCUCUUGACUCUGACAUCACGAAUGCAGACGUUUGAAAUCCCAGUCUGUUACUUGCUGUGUGAUCCGGAGCGUAUCACACAAAAGGAGCUGACCAGAACUUUGAGAUGUGAGGCCAGGUACUUCAUGACCUCCCCCUGCAAGAAAUGUGACAAUCGCAGUCACCUCCAGGUCCCCACAAGGACGUCGAGAUCUUCUAAGACAAUAAAGCUCAGCCCUUUGGAAGGCAAAGCUGAUCUGAGACCUUUUUCAUCUGCUAAUAAUAGUGAUACCCAAGCAAAACGUACAUCCAAUGAGCUGCAAGUUAAACGCCCCGUCCAUCACUGGAGAUUCACUUCCAUAUUUGCUAUAAAUAAGGACACUGUUUAUUGCGUCAGUUAAUGACCCCUCCUAAAGCCUCAAGGGAGAAAUUUCACUCAGGAUUUAGUCCCUGGAAAAAACUAAAACUGAAAACCAACCGCAUUUCCCCCAAGGAACUGGCAACCGUCUCCCUUGCUAAUAAGAAGAGCUCCGUAACGGAUCAAGUUUCCCUUUUUGCACAGGCUGCCAGGAAGCUCGGAGCCAAAUUCCACCCUCAUUCCCAACCACUUUGGCAGUUGCUUUCUCCUCGUUCCUGCUGUCCCGCUUCUAAUCCUACCGACUCUGCCUUGUUUGUUCUGCCUUGUAUUAAAGAUAGCCCCCUUUUUAAU